CCUACGGGAGACAGCAGUGAGGAAUAUUGGUCAAUGGACGCAAGUCUGAACCAGCCAAGUAGCGUGAAGGAUGACUGCCCUACGGGUUGUAAACUUCUUUUAUAAAGGAAUAAAGUGGGGCACGUGUGCCUUGUUGUAUGUACUUUAUGAAUAAGGAUCGGCUAACUCCGUGCCAGCAGCCGCGGUAAUACGGAGGAUCCAAGCGUUAGCCGGAUUUAUUGGGUUUAAAGGGAGCGUAGGUGGGUUGUUAAGUGAGUUGUGAAAGUUUGCGGCUCAACCGGAAAAUUGCAAUUGAUACUGGCAGUCUUGAGUACAGUUGGGGUAGGCGGAAUUCGUGGUGUAGCGGUGAAAUGCUUAGAUAUCAUGAAGAACUCCGAUUGCGAAGGCAGCUUACCAAACUGCCACUGACAUUGAUGCUCGAAAGUGUGGGUAUCAAACAGGAUUAGAUACCCUUGUAGUC
rnacentral:rRNA from 1 species